AUUGAACGCUGGCGGCAGGCCUAACACAUGCAAGUCGAGCGAGCGGCGGACGGGUGAGUAAUGUCUGGGAAACUGCCUGAUGGAGUGGGAUAACUACUGGAAACGGUAGCUAAUACCGCAUACCAUCAGAUGUGCCCAGAUGGGAUUAGCUAGUAGGUGGGGUAACGGCUCACCUAGUCGACGAUCCCUAGCUGGUCUGAGAGGAUGACCAGCUGCGCUGUAACUGGGACACGGUCCAGACUCCUACGGGAGGCAGCAGUGGGGAAUAUUGCACAGUGGGCGCAAGCCUGCUGCAGCCAUGCCGCGUGUGUGAAGAAGGCCUUCGGUUUGUAAAGCACUUUCAGCGGGGAGGCGUUACCCGCAGAAGAAGCACCGGCUAACUCCGUGCCAGCAGCCGCGGUAAUAC
rnacentral:rRNA from 1 species